GUAUUGCUUUGGCAAUACAUAUACUAAACAUUGGAAUGAUACACGUGAAGAUUAGCAUGGCCCCUUUGCAAGGAUGACACCCAAAUAUGUGAAGCAUUCCAUAUAUUU